AGAUUGAACGCUGGCGGCGUGGUUAAAGCAUGCAAGUCGAGCGAACCCGCAAGGGUGAGCGGCGAAAGGGUCAGUAAUACGAUCGAACGUACCCCGAGGUGAGGGAUAGCGGCGGGAAACUGCCGGUAAUACCUCAUGAUCUCUCCGGAGCAAAGGUUUACCGCCUUGGGAUCGGCGAUCGUCCUAUCAGCUAGUUGGCGGGUAAAAGCCCACCAAGGCUAUGACGGGUAGCAGGUGUGAGAGCACGACCUGCGACAUCGAAACUGAGACACUGUUCGGACUCCUACGGGAGGCUGCAGCGACGAAUCUUCCGCAAUGGGCGCAAGCCUGACGGAGCGACGCCGCGUGUGGGAUGAAGCGCCUUCGGCGUGUAAACCACUGUCAGGAGACGGAACCAAUGAUUGCUCCAAAGGAAGGGCGACUAACUCUGCACCAGCAGCCGC
rnacentral:rRNA from 1 species